ACAGUUCAGCAGUUGGAGCAGAAAACUAGUGGCAGUCAGAAUAACACCACCAUCUGAGGAUGACCCAUUGAAUUUCCGGCUUAUCUUGGGCUGAAAAUUGUAAACUAUGUCGCGGUACAUGUGCCAGAGCAGCAGAAACAGGAGGCUGCACCGCAGUAGGCGAUUAAAACAAAGGAGAAGAACUGGUAGAAGACAAAGGAGGCUGUAUAAAAAAGGUGUGCGGCAGUCUCAUUACCGGAGGAGCUCCUUCUCAGCCUAGCCAUCUUCAGCUCGUGAAACAGGACAACUUCAAUCCCCAAAGCAACAUGUCAGGAGAUGAGGAUUGUGAUAUCUGACCCACCAAGUUUCUGCAACCAUUCAUGCUGAACAAUAAACCUUUUGAGCA